AAGAGAGGGGGGGAUGGUGUGAGAUGAGGUUAGAUAUAGAGGAAUUUUGUUGUAUUUUUAGAGUAGUAAGGUAUUACGAAAGUGAUUGAAUUAGGGUUGAUUCGAUUAGAUUUGGGUUUUGUGAAGUUUAUAAGUAAUAGUAUGGAAAAUGAAUGGGGGUAGAGGGGAGAGUGUAUAGUGGUGUGUGGAAAUUUUGUGUUAAGUUGAUAGUAU
rnacentral:misc_RNA from 1 species